rnacentral:rRNA from 1 species
GACGAACGCUGGCGGCGUGCUUAACACAUGCAAGUCGAACGGAAAGGCCCCUUUGGGGGUCCUCGAGUGGCGAACGGGUGAGUAACACGUGAGUAACCUGCCCUUGACUUCGGGAUAACUUCAGGAAACUGGGGCUAAUACCGGAUAGGAAUCCUUGCUGCAUGGUGGGGGUUGGAAAGCUUCGGCGGUUUUGGAUGGACUCGCGGCUUAUCAGCUUGUUGGUGGGGUAGUGGCUUACCAAGGCUUUGACGGGUAGCCGGCCUGAGAGGGCGACCGGCCACAUUGGGACUGGGGUACGGCCCAGACUCCUACGGGAGGCAGCAGUGGGGAAUAUUGCACAAUGGGCGGAAGCCUGAUGCAGCAACGCCGCGUGCGGGAUGACGGCCUUCGGGUUGUAAACCGCUUUCAGCAGGGGCGAAGCUUGUGGUGACGGUACCUGCAGAAGAAGCACCGGCUAACUACGUG